rnacentral:rRNA from 1 species
AAUCAACGCUGGCGGCGUGCCUAACACAUGCAAGUCGAACGCGAAAGUCCCGCAAGGGAUUAGUAGAGUGGCAAACGGGUGAGUAACACGUGGGUGACCUGCCUUCGAGCGGGGGAUAACGUCCCGAAAGGGACGCUAAUACCGCAUAACAUCCUGUCUUUUAAGAGAUGGUGAUCAAAGCCGGGGAUUCGCAAGAACCUGGCACUUGAAGAGGGGCCCGCGCCUGAUUAGCAGGUUGGUGGGGUAAUGGCUCACCAAGGCAACGAUCAGUAUCCGGCUGAGAGGG